rnacentral:tRNA from 2 species
AGGGCUUUAUCUUAAUUUAAAGGGUCUGAGUUGCAUUCAGAAGAUGUAGGUUAAUAUCCUGCAGGUCCUA